rnacentral:tRNA from 1 species
GGAAGGGUGCCGGAGAGGUCGAACGGGGCGGUCUCGAAAACCGUUGUGCGCUUGCGUACCGUGGGUUCGAAUCCCACCUCUUCCGCCA